rnacentral:rRNA from 1 species
GCAGCCUGCAACUCGGCUGCAUGAAGCCGGAAUCGCUAGUAAUCGCGGAUCAGAACGCCGCGGUGAAUACGUUCCCGGGUCUUGUACACACCGCCCGUCACACCAUGGGAGUCGGGAACGCCCGAAGUCGGUGCCCCAACCGCAAGGAGGGAGCCGCCGAAGGCAGGCCCGGCGACUGGGGUGAAGUCGUAACAAGGUACC